UUGUUUCAUUCUCUUCUCCUUUCCCUCUCUCUCUCUCUCUCUCUCUCUCUCUCUCUCUCUCUCUCUCUCUCUCUCUCCUCUCUAUUUUCUCUCUCUUCUUUUCACGUUGACAUGUCUUCUGCUGACGGUAACGGCAGCAAUCUUCCCAACUCCGACGAACUCCGUCGUUACUUUUGCCACCAGUGCGAACGCACCGCCUUCAUUUCAACUUCCUCCACCGAUCUAAUCUGUCCCAAUUGUAACGGUACCUUCCUCGAAGAACUCGAAACCCCAAUCCCUAACCCUAACCCUAAUCCCAAUCCAAAUCCUAUUCCACCGUUUUUCUCCUACACUACCGACUUUCCCGCUGCGAAUUUCUCGUUUCCUAUUGGAAAUUCUCAACCGUUGGAAGAUCUCUCCGUUUUAUUCGGUAACCGAUCGUCGCCGUCGCCGGCUUCUCCUUUCGGUCAAGCUUUUAAUCCUGUCGCUUUUAUUCAAAACUAUCUCCAGAACAUAAGACCGGGAGCGGGAGGCAACGUUCAGUUCUUCAUCGACGAUGCGGAUGAUCCGACUGGACCAUUUCGGUUUCCUGGAAACGCGAAUCCGGGAGAUUACUUUUUCGGACCAGGACUUGAGGAUCUGAUCCAGCAACUUGCUGAGAAUGAUCCGAGUCGGCGUGGGACUCCGCCGGCGUCGAAGUCUGCCGUGGAAAAACUUCCGGUUAUAUCAGUUACCGAGGAGCUGCUUGAGUCCGAUUCGGCGCAGUGUGCUGUGUGUAAAGACACAUUUGCCCUCGGUGAAAAGGCUAAGCAGAUGCCGUGUAAGCAUAUAUAUCAUACGGAUUGUAUCUUGCCGUGGUUGGAAUUGCAUAAUUCUUGUCCUGUUUGUCGGUAUGAGUUGCCUACAGAUGAUGCUGAUUAUGAGCAGAGGGCUCGAGGAGACGGUGUCGGGGGCGGUCCUGGUGGUGGUGGGGUUGAUGAUUCGCAGACAAGGAGAUUUAGGAUGUCGUUGCCGUGGCCGUUUAGGCAGGUACCUUCAUCAUCUUCGGUUGCCGGAACUAGUAAUGCUGGGAAUGUUAAUAAUAAUAACAAUAACAGCAAUAGCAAUAGUGGGCAAUCGGAUACUGAAAGUAGAGGUAAUCAGAGUUUUGAGCCGGAGACUAGACAAGAAGACCUCGACUGAGAAUCAAUCAUGUUUCAUAUGUGGCUGUGGCAGGUUAAAUAUAGGUGGCAUUUCCUUUGAGCUUGUCUACCUUUGAGUUUGCUGAGUUUGCAGCUAAAUAUUUCACGUUGGGAACUGUAAAGGGAAAAAAUUCUUUGAUUGGAGGUUCCUUGAUCAGUGAAAGUGAGAUUUAUAAACUUUCAAUUCUGUUUGGUACGGAUUGUGAAGCUGCUAGUUUGAGUUACCUUCACUUGUUUUUCUGAUGCUUGAUUGGUUCAUAAAUUGGGGCAUGGGGAGGAAUGCUGUAAGAGGUUUCAAUCCAUCUUGCAAGAGUAUGACUAUGUAAGUAGAAGAGGCCUGAAGCUUGUUUCAAAUCUGCAGCAUUUUGUUGAGUAGAAAUGAUUCAAAUACCUAGUAAUGGUUUUGUGAUGGUUACAAAUUUUAUAUUCGAUUACAAUGAACUUGUGACUGUCCUUCACCCUUUUGACGCGUAGAGUUCUUUGUAGAUUCAUGAUCCUAUGUGCAUUAUUUGUUCAAUAUAUUUUGUGAACUAUAUUGUCUGUGACACCUUUCCCUUGUUCUUCUCUUCCGGAUUUGGUUUCAAAAGUGAGGUUUAUUUAGAGGGAAAAGUAAAAGAUCAUGUAAACAACCAUUUUAGUCUUUGAAAUUGUAGGAUGUUGUCAUUUUGGUCAUUGGCUUAGUAAAAAACUUAAAAAUAGUCAUUGAAUCAUCAAAAUAGUAUCUGAAAGAAAUAAUUUGUUAUUAUAAGCCUUUUAAAGAUACAAUUUAGUGUUAAAAUAGUAUUUGAUUGUUAUAACAUUAGAGACUAAAUUGACCAACAUUUUGAUGAUUAAUUUGAAUUUUUGACUGAGUCAGAGACCAAAGUGACAAUGCUUUAUACUUACAGAUACUAGAAUGGUAGUUUAUCCGUAUAAGAUUACAGCUUUCAUUGAGAAAAUGAAUGGUUGAAAUUGUGAUCAAAUGUAUUUAUAUGUAUAAUGAAUUAUUACAACAUUAUUUAAGUCUAUUUUCUUAA